AGUCAACCUGCCCUGGAGACAAGGACAACCCCGGGAAACUGGGAUUAAUCCUUGAUAGGUCAUCUCAUCUGGAAGGAGAGAUGGCUUAAAGGGGUACGCGGGCUUCUUCCGCGAAUUCGCUCCAGGAUGGGACUGCGUCCGAUCAGGCUGUUGGCGGGGUAAUGGCCCACCAAACCUGUAACCGGUACGGGCCUUGAGAGAGGUGGCCCGGAGAUGGACACUGAGAGAAGGGUCCAGGUCCUACGGGGCGCAGCAGGCGCGAAACCUUCGCAAUGCGCGAAAGCGUGACGAGGUUAAUCCGAGUGACUUCCGCUGAGGAGGUCUUUUGUCAGCUGUAAAUAGGCAGGCGAAUAAGGGGAGGGCAAGCCUGGUGUCAGCCGCCGCGGUAAUACCAGCUCCUCGAGUGGUCGGGGCGAUUAUUGGGCCUAAAGCAUCCGUAGCCCGGUUCCGUAGGUCCUCUGUUAAAUCCAACCGCUUAACGGUUGACCUGCAAAGGAUACCGCGGGACUAGAAGCGGGAAGAGCCGGACGGUACUCCGCGUGUAGGGGUAAAUCC
rnacentral:rRNA from 1 species